rnacentral:rRNA from 1 species
AUUGAACGCUGGCGGAAUGCUUUACACAUGCAAGUCGAACGGCAGCACGGACUUCGGUCUGGUGGCGAGUGGCGAACGGGUGAGUAAUGUAUCGGAACGUGCCCAGUCGAGGGGGAUAACGUAGUGAAAAUUACGCUAAUACCGCAUACGAUCUAUGGAUGAAAGCGGGGGAUCGCAAGACCUCGAGCGAUUGGAGCGGCCUAUAUCAGAUUAGGUAGUUGGUGGGGUAAAGGCCCACCAAGCCAACGAUCUGUAGCUGGUCUGAGAGGACGAGCAGCCACGCGGUAAAUGAGACACGGUACAGACUCCUACGGGAGGCAGCAGUGGGGAAUUUUGGACAAUGGGCGAAAGCCUGAUCCAGCCAUUCCGCGUGCAGGAUGAAGGCCCUCGGGUUGUAAACUGCUUUUGUACAGAACGAAAAGGUUUCUACUAAUACUAGGAGCUCAUGACGGUACUGUAAGAAUAAGCACCGGCUAACUACGUGCCAGCCGCCGCGGUAA